rnacentral:rRNA from 1 species
UACGUAGGCAGCGAGCGUUGUUCGGAAUUACUGGGCGUAAAGAGUGUGUAGGCGGUGCUCCCAGUCUGUUGUGAAAUCUCCCGGCUUAACUGGGAGGGUGCAGCGGAAACUAGAGUGCUAGAGGGUGGGAGAGGUAAGCGGAAUUCCUGGUGUAGCGGUGAAAUGCGCAGAUAUCGGGAGGAACACCGGUGGCGAAGGCGGUUCUCUGGGCCUUACCUGACGCUGAGGAGCGAAAGCGUGGGGAGCGAACAGG